CCUCCAAGGAGCUGACAGUUGGUAGAACAACAGGCAUAUGAGCAAAUAAGCUUGACCACGUGCCUCAGGAAGAUGUGGGGCCCAAGUGAGAGCACAGAGGAGCGCCACCUGUGAAGAGGGGAUCACAUGUGGAGAUGGCCUAGCUAGAGAAAUUGUAACACUGAUGCCUUGAUGGACUUCCUCCUUCCCAGAGAAGAGCUACAGAUACUUCCUCCAGAUCAAAGAUAAGGAGUAAAGCCCAGCAGGGGUGGGGGAAGGGGAAAAGAAAUACAGCCUUUCAUGGAUCUUUAUUUUCAUAGCUUCCACCCCAUCCUCUCAACUUAGAUUUCCCUGGGACAACUGGUACACCCUAUUCCAUCACUCUUUUAUUCCUGACGGUCUACCUUCUUUUACAUUUUAGGUUACCGUGCAAGAUACCUGAAUAAUUCUGUCAGGGUGAAACAAUAGGAGUCAAUCCAUUGGUUCAAGUGCCCUAGAUCCAAGUUUCAUUUUGUUUUAAAGCAACAAGCAAGUACCUUCUCUCUGAAAUCUCUCCUGUAGCAUAUAAGAAAAGUCAAAUUAGGCCUAUCUGACACAAAAUUAUUGAAGUAAAGAAAGAGGAGUGAGAGAGCCCCACUCUUUCCCCUGAUAGAUGUUCAUCUGAAUGUCUUUUGUCAGCUUGAACAGUAGGGUCACCUGGUGUAGCCCCCACCCCUGAAAAACCUGGCUCUAUCCAUGUGGACCAAUGAUUGAGGGAGUGUUAAGUACAUAACAAGAAAGGAGGAAGCUAAACACCUUUCCUGUCAAGAGCAGAAACUAUGCUUUAAUCUUCUUUAUAUCCCCACAGCCUAGUGUAGGGCUUGGCAUGAGACAAUGCAUCAAUAAAGGUCUGCUGAAUUGAAGAAAACUUUGGAAAUGAGGAGGCCUGGGAGCACUGUGGUUCAGUGCAAGUUGAAUGACAGCUGGCAAUGGCCUUUAGGAACAGAAGACAAGGAAAAACAGAUUAGGGGAACGGAUUGGAGGUGUGUGUUCACAAAAGGAGAAAGUGAGUUUUGGGAAAUCUAUGUGAGCAGGAAACCAGGAAAUGACCACUUUCAAUACCCAAGACCAUAAGCAGAGAAGUCUGACCUGAAAUGUUGACAUGACUCUUCUUCCUGAGCCGCAGAAUAGAUGAGAUGAGACACUGUCAAAGAAGGGUAUCAAGAAUGAUGGAGAAAGCUAUGUUGGGAAACAGUGUGGUUUUUGGAAAAGAAAGUCUUUGACAAACUGUGAAGACAAUGAAAUGAAUGAGGAGAGAAAAUGAAGAUAAUUUAUAACAGGGUGAGUGAGAGAUACUAGAACAGAAUUUAAAUUUUUUACUGAUGAUUAGUUUUCAUUUUACUGAUGAUUAGUUUGACUGCAAGUAACAGAAAACCCCCCCAAAGAGGGGUUGACACAAAAUAGGAGAUUAUUUUUGUCUCAGGUGACAGUCCAGUUCAGCCAUCCAGGGCUAGUGUGAAAGGCUCUUCAAAGUCCUCAAGGCCUCAGGCACUCCUUAGCCACCUACCCUGUCAUCCCCAAGAGUGGUCAACCUCCUCAUGGUCCAGGAUGGGUCCUGGCAGAGGGACUGGAGAAAAGAA